rnacentral:rRNA from 1 species
ACGAACGCUGGCGGCGUGCUUCACACCUGCCAGUCGAACGGAAAGGCCCUGCUUGCAGGGUGCUCGAGUGGCGAACGGGUGAGUAACACGUGGGUGAUCUGCCCCUUACUUUGGGAUAAGCCUGGGAAACUGGGUCUAAUACUGGAUAGGACCAUGCUGUAGGUGGUGUGGUGGAAAGAUUAGUUUCGGUAAGGGAUGAGCUCGCGGCCUAUCAGCUUGUAGGUGGGGUAAUGGCCUACCAAGGCGUCGACGGGUAGCCGGCCUGAGAGGGUGGACGGCCACAUUGGGACUGAGAUACGGCCCAGACUCCUACGGGAGGCAGCAGUGGGGAAUAUUGCACAAUGGGCGCAAGCCUGAUGCAGCGACGCCGCGUGGGGGAUGACGGCCUUCGGGUUGUAAACUCCUUUCAGCCAUGACGAAGCCCUUGUGGUGACGGUAGUGGUAGAAGAAGCACCGGCUAACUACGUG